rnacentral:sRNA from 2 species
AUACGUGUUCACUGCUCACUCUUCCUCUAGGCCGCUCGGAUUCCAAAAGGCUGAGGAUGGUCGGAGCCCGGAAAACCGGCGAAUCCUGGAGUGAAACUGAUUCGGCGCAUGCAGAUAUGCUGAAGAAUCUUCCUGAUAACAAUCUCCAAAGCUUGUGCUGGAAGGACAUUCUUCCCGCCUAAUUGGCUGGUUGCAUAUCAUGUCAAUCAUGGGCUGAAACAAAGCAACUGCUCGCGACCACCGUCGCCCUUCGCGCUUUAUCCAUCCGGACCUUAUUCCCACCGAACAACUCACCUCCUCCGUGAAGCAGAUCCUGCAUUCGAAGAACUGAGGUGCUGGAAAUACGAAGGUGUCAUUCACGACUAUUGCACUUCAGGCUGCAGGCGCCUCGUUGCAUUGAUCCGAUCUCGCAUUCCAUCGAGAGAUAUCAAUGGCUGAGAGGCAAUGGCAAUUUUAGAUAUGACUGGGGC